GGGGCAGAAGUGGCAGUGGGGAGGAGAGCGGCUGCGUCCGGAAGCGGAGACUGGGGCAGAAGGUGGUGGGGAAGAGCCAGCACUAUCCAUUCUUCAUGGCAAGAAAGCUGACCAUCGAGUAGACCAACCAAACUGGUUCACUGACUGGCGACUGAGAGACAAUCGUCUCCCUGGAUGAGAAGAGGUGGAUACACUGGCGCAUUCCCGAGUGCGUGCAAAGGACUGACACAUGCAACUUGUAUUAAGACUAAUGGGAGCUACACGUGCCAAAUCCCUACAUAACCUGAGGAGCAAAGAAUGUCAAGAGAGCUAUACAUAAA